UGAAGAUAGGAUCACCAGCUGCUGUGAUUCCCCUUCCCUCUCCCUCCCUCUCCCCAGCCCCAAACACCAACACAGCACGGUCAUGCUUACGAAUCUGUCUUGCUGGAGGGCGAGGGUGAGACUAGCAGCUCCAGAAGCAGUCCAAGACUAUGAGCCUAGGGUGCUCCAAGACUCUCUGGGACUCUGACAGAGAAGAGUGAAGCAAGAAAAUCACCCAAUAGUCCUGCAAUUCAUAUUCAGGCUACUUCAAAAUGAAAAUUGCAAACUCUUCCAGUAUAUUGCUGUCACAGGAACCCAUCAUGACUUAAGCUGGAAACCAAGUGAACAAGCUGAAGAAGUAACAUACAAAAAAAUCCCACUUCUGUAUCAAUGCCUUCAACUACCAACAAAAAAUAAUUAAGGGAGCUAGGGUUGGACCAAAAACUGGUGAGGGUGAAGACCUGGUAUGAAUUAGGAAGGAGACAAAUGAAGUUCAGUGAAUGUAGAGCUAAGGAUGCUUUUUAAAGAAGUGAUUGUCACAGUGGGUUUUUCAAAUAAAUAUUAUAACCUCCAAA